rnacentral:lncRNA from 1 species
CUAUUGCUAUUGUUCUUGUUCUAUUGUUCUUGUCUUUUGCUUUAGUUUAUAACAAAUAUGAUAUAUAUACCAUUAUUGUCAUAGUGCUCUCAAAAGUUAUUAUAUCAGUCAUUCUCCUUGACAACUGUUAUUCUCUAGAAAGCAGGCACAGGUAUUUCAGAUUGUGCUUGAACUAAUGGGUUAGGUACUGGGUAGAUAACUUAAUAGAUGUGGACAUGAAAGCUGUUUUCCUAAUUGGUUUAUUUAAUGCCAUUAUUAGCUGGAGUUUGUAGAUAAGAUUGACAAGCCUGCACCUUCCCUGAA